UACAGAGGGUGCGAGCGUUAAUCGGAAUUACUGGGCGUAAAGCGUGCGUAGACGGCUAUCUAAGUCGGGUGUGAAAGCCCCGGGCUUAACCUGGGAAUGGCAUUUGGGACUGCAAGGCUCGAGUGCGGCAGAGGAGACUGGAAUUCCUGGUGUAGCAGUGAAAUGCGUAGAUAUCAGGAGGAACACCGAUGGCGAAGGCAGGUCUCUGGGCUGACACUGACGCUCAUGCACGAAAGCGUGGGGAGCAAACAGG
rnacentral:rRNA from 1 species